CCGGCGCUUCGGCAAGGGCAGGGCUGGGUCUCCCGCCCCGUCCCGCCCUGUCCCCGGACGUUGUGCAUCCCCCAGUGACCUGUGACAAACCAGAGGCAGCCCUAAAUACCUCAGAGGCAAGAUACAAGGAAACCUGUGUCAGACAUAUCAAAAUUAACUGGCUCCUGAAGAAAGACUCAUUCCACCCUGUCAUUAUUAAAAAAGGAAAGAAAACAAAAUGCAGAAAACUGAAAAGCCCAAACAAACAGAAAUUGAAGCAUUGAAGAAGAAAGGUAGAUGAAUAGACUGCAGUCUCUUCAAGAUGCAAGACAAGGAAGAAAUUGGUCUGGAAGCCUGCUGAAGAAAGGGACUGAUUGGCACUCUUUGGUGCAAUAUGAGCAGCUCACACUCCUAUAUGCAUCUGGGGUUUUUCCAUCUCAUGUUGUAAGCCAAAACAGUUCCCAGUGCCACUUUUGGAAGAGAAUUAAAAUCACAUUCUGACUGAUCCAAGAACCAGACCUGGAAUGUGUAAGCCUGUUUUUGUCUACUCAAGUGCCAAGGGUUGCCAAGCACUGGAAGAGGCUGCCCAGGGAAGUGGUGGAGUUGACGUUCCUGGAGGGAAGGCAACAUUUGCAGCUGACUGGAGCAAGAGGCCAGAUGUACUCAAAGAUGUUGAGAGGUAGUAAUGCAUGGACUGACCAGUUUAUGGAACAGGAUGAAGGAUGGAAAACAAGACAAUUGUGCCAAGUAAAAUGAUUUCAAUCACUCAGUGUGCCCUGAAGCGUUCUGCAUAAACUUAAAGAUGGGAUGGGAGAAAGAGGAUUUCUGCUUUCUUAAUUGCAUUGUAAAUGCAAUAGGGAGAGUGAUUUAUGGACUAGGUGCUUAUGAUCUGUAGCACAAAAUAAA